AGAGAAUUUAGCAGAGAUGCUUUAGUGCCUUCGGGAACUCUGAGACAGGUGCUGCAUGGCUGUCGUCAGCUCGUGUUGUGAAAUGUUGGGUUAAGUCCCGNAACGAGCGCAACCCUUAUCCUUUGUUGCCAGCACGUAAUGGUGGGAAACUCAAAGGAGACUGCCGGUGAUAAACCGGAGGAAGGUGGGGAUGACGUCAAGUCAUCAUGGCCCUUACGAGUAGGGCUACACACGUGCUACAAUGGCGCAUACAAAGAGAAGCGACCUCGCGAGAGCAAGCGGACCUCACAAAGUGCGUCGUAGUCCGGAUUGGAGUCUGCAACUCGACUCCAUGAAGUCGGAAUCGCUAGUAAUCGUAAAUCAGAAUGUUACGGUGAAUACGUUCCCGGGCCUUGUACACACCGCCCGUCACACCAUGGGAGUGGGUUGCAAAAGAAGUAGAUAGCUUAACCUUCGGGAGGGCGUUUACCACUUUGUGAUUCAUGACUGGGGUGAAGUCGUAACAAGGUAGGCGUAGUGCU
rnacentral:rRNA from 1 species